rnacentral:rRNA from 1 species
AUUGAACGCUGGCGGCAGGCCUAACACAUGCAAGUCGAACGAGUGGCGGACGGGUGAGUAAUGUCUGGGAAACUGCCUGAUGGAGGGGGAUAACUACUGGAAACGGUAGCUAAUACCGCAUACCAUCAGAUGUGCCCCGAUGGGAUUAGCUGGUUGGUGGGGUAACGGCUCACCAAGGCGACGACCCCUAGCUGGUCUGAGAGGAUGACCAGCAACACUGGAACUGAGCCACGGUCCAGAGUCCGACGGGAGGCAGCAGUGGGAAAUAUUGAACAAGGGGGGCAAGCCGGAUGGAGCCAUACCGCAUGUAUGAAGAAGGCCUUAGGGUUGUAAAGUACUUUCAGCGGGGAGGCGUUACCCGCAAAGGAAGCACCGGCUAACUCCGUGCCAGCAGCCACGGUAAUAC